AUAAAAAGAGAAUUAAAAAAGUGUUAAUAAAAUUUAUGAAAAAUUAAAAUUAAAAUUCAAAAAUGUUGAAGUUUAAAAUUUAAAAUUAGAUUUGAAAAUUAAAAAAAUUAAAUUUAAAUUUAAAAAUUUAAAUGAUAACAACGGAAACAUAGAAGUAUAUUCUUAUAUACUUUUACCCCAACUUUGGUAAAUAAUAUUGAAUAGUUUAUUCAAAAUAUUUUAGAAAUUGCGAAAAUUUACCGCCACAAAGC
rnacentral:lncRNA from 1 species